rnacentral:rRNA from 1 species
AACGAACGCUGGCGGCGUGCCUAACACAUGCAAGUCGUACGUGAAAGUCUUCGGAUGAGUAAAGUGGCGCACGGGUGAGUAACACGUAGGUGACCUGCCUUAUAGAGGGGAAUAACCAGAAGAAAUUUUGGCUAAUGCCGCAUACGAAGCACGGUUUUAAGACUGUGCUUGAAGAAUGCCUCUGCAUAUGCAUUCGCUAUUAGAUGGGCCUGCGGGACAUUAGCUAGUUGGUGGGGUAAAGGCCUACCAAGGCAACGAUGUCUAUCCGGUCUGAGAGGAUGAUCGGACACACUGGAACUGAGACACGGUCCAGACUCCUACGGGAGGCAGCAGUGGGGAAUAUUGCGCAAUGGGCGAAAGCCUGACGCAGCGACGCCGCGUGGGUGAUGAAGGCCUUCGGGUC